GACGAACGCUGGCGGCGUGCUUAACACAUGCAAGUCGUACGGUAAGGCCCUUUCGGGGGUACACGAGUGGCGAACGGGUGAGUAACACGUGAGUAACCUGCCCACAACUUUGGGAUAACGCUAGGAAACUGGUGCUAAUACUGGAUAUGUGCUCCUGCUGCAUGGUGGGGGUUGGAAAGCUCCGGCGGUUGUGGAUGGACUCGCGGCCUAUCAGCUUGUUGGUGGGGUAGUGGCCUACCAAGGCGGCGCCGGGUAGCCGGCCUGAGAGGGUGACUGGCCACAUGGGGACUGUGAUACGGCCCAGACUCCUACGGGAGGCAGCAGUGGGGAAUAUUGCACAAUGGGCGCAAGCCUGAUGCAGCAACGCCGCGUGCGGGAUGACGGCCUUCGGGUUGUAACCCGCUUUCAGCAGGGACGAAGCUUUUUGUGACGGUACCUGCAGAAGAAGCACCGGCUAACUACGU
rnacentral:rRNA from 1 species